rnacentral:rRNA from 1 species
CGAGUCUCGGCAACGGAUAUCUUGGCUCUCGCAUUAAUGAAGAACGUAGCGAAAUGCGAUACUUGGUGUGAAUUGCAGAAUCCCGUGAACCAUCGACUCUUUGAACGCAAGUUGCGCCCGACUCCACUCGGCCGAGGGCAUGCUUGCCU